GACGAACGCUGGCGGCGUGCCUAAUACAUGCAAGUCGAACGCAGUGGGGACGGGUGCGUAACACGUGGGUAACCUGCCAUCAAAGGGGAUAACCGUUGGAUACAGGUGCUAAACCCAUACUGAUGGAUGGACCCGCGGUGCAUUAGCUAGUUGGUGAGGUAACGGCUCACCAAGGCCACGAUGCAUAGCCGGCCUGAGAGGGUGACCGGCCACACUGGGACUGAGACACGGCCCAGACUCCUACGGGAGGCAGCAGUAGGGAAUAUUGGGCAAUGGACGAAAGUCUGACCGAGCAAUGCCGCGUGAGUGAAGAAGGGUUUCGGAUCGUAAAACUCUGUUGUUAGAGAAGCGGUAUCUAACCAGAAAGCCACGGCUAACUACGUGCCAGCAGCCGCGGUAAUUC
rnacentral:rRNA from 1 species